rnacentral:rRNA from 1 species
GACGAACGCUGGCGGCGUGCCUAAUACAUGCAAGUAGAACGCACAGUUUAUACCGUAGCUUGCUACACCAUAGACUGUGAGUUGCGAACGGGUGAGUAACGCGUAGGUAACCUGCCUGGUAGCGGGGGAUAACUAUUGGAAACGAUAGCUAAUACCGCAUAAUAUUAAUUAUUGCAUGAUAAUUAAUUGAAAGGUGCAAUUGCACCACUACCAGAUGGACCUGCGUUGUAUUAGCUAGUAGGUGAGGUAACGGCUCACCUAGGCGACGAUACAUAGCCGACCUGAGAGGGGGAUCGGCCACACUGGGACUGAGACACGGCCCAGACUCCUACGGGAGGCAGCAGGAGGGAAUCUUCGGCAAUGGACGAAAGUCUGACCGAGCAACGCCGCGGGAGGGAAGAAGGUUGUCGGAUCGUAAAGCUCUGUUGUAAGAGAAGAACGGGUGUGAGAGUGGAAAGUUCACACUGUGACGGUAUCUUACCAGAAAGGGACGGCUAACUACGUG